rnacentral:snoRNA from 1 species
CUUUCUGAUGAUGAUUGAUCUAAAUACAUUCGUUCUUCUGAUGUGCUCUUUCAUAGUACUGUGCGGAGGAAAUUUGGAGGCCUGAACUGAGGAAAU